UGUCUUCACGCAGCUUCCGUAUGUUUCUCUUGUUCUGAUGGACGAAUCUUUUCACAUUUUACAGGCACAAAGACGGAUGGGGAAGAGGAACUUCUCAGGGCCGGCACCUGCCUUGCUGGGCGCUGAGCACCCCGUCUUGGGAGGUGACCCAGCAGAGGGCAAGAAACAUUCCUGAAUACAUUUACUGGCAUUUGAUAUCGUCUCCCCAGCUCUGGGCCUUCAAACCAAGGGGCAGUUCAGUGCAGUGGCGCAGGCUGUGGACUCAGGAGCCCGACUGCCUGCAUUUGAAUCCCAUCUCUUCCCCUUGCUACCUGUGUGUCCUUGGGCAAGCUGCUCCGUGUUCCCGAGCCUCACCGUCGUUCUCUAUAAAACUAUGAUUGAUUGAUUCAACCCAUUUUAUUGAGUAUCUACUAUGUGCCAGACAUUUUCUAGGCACUUGGGACAUGCCAGUAAAUAGAGCAAGGAAAAAUCCUCCUUCUUGUGGAGAUCAUACUGCGGCAGGGGGUAGACAAGUGGCAAACACUAAUAGAUGGAGACCCUGAGGACUGAGUCACGGAAAGUACUUGCGUAUGACCACACGGAGAGGACUAAAACCAAAGUGGGGG